GUUAAAACUUCAGCACAAGAACUUGGUCACUUUGUUGGGAUGUUGUGUAGAGGGAACUGAGAAGAUGCUUGUUUAUGAAUAUCUGCCAAACAAAAGCCUUGAUUAUUUUCUUUUUGAUAAACAGAAAUCUUCAUCCCUUGAUUGGACAACACGGUUUAGAAUAGUUACAGGAGUGGCAAGGGGUCUUCUCUACCUGCACGAAGAAGCCCCUUGAAAGGAUCAUUCAUAGAGACAUCAAAGCUAGCAAUGUUUUGUUGGAUGAACAUUUGAAUCCAAAAAUUUCAGAUUUUGGCUUGGCAAGGCUCUUUCCUGGUGAAGACACGCAUUUGAAUACAUUUAGGAUUUCUGGUACUCAUGGUUACAUGGCCCCUGAAUACGCAUUGCAUGGAUAUUUGUCUGUGAAGAGUGAUGUUUUUAGCUAUGGAGUUUUGCUGUUGGAGAUUGUAAGUGGGAGAAAAAAUCACGACAGCCACUGACACCCACCUUGGUGGUGAAAAGGCAGACAUCUUGAGCUAUACAUGGAGGCUUUAUCAAGGAGGAAAGACGUUAGAUUUGGUUGACCCCAGUCUUGCUAAGUGCAAUCGUGACGAGGCAGCAAUGUGCAUUCAACUAGGAUUGUUAUGCUGUCAACAAAGUGUUUCGGAUAGGCCUGAUAUGAACUCUGUUCAUCUCAUGCUUGUGAGCGACUCAUUUACUCUGCCUAUACCUGGUAAACCUGGAAUUCAAGGCCGUCGAGGACAUUGGACAACUACUGGAACUUCUGCUUUCACCAACACUAACAAUAAUACUAAUACUAAUACCAAUUCCAAUCCUAGCAGUACAAGCACUGGCAUUGCCAGAGUUUCUGG
rnacentral:misc_RNA from 1 species